rnacentral:lncRNA from 10 species
UCAGAAUUGUGGACUUUUCUUUUUGCACAUGCACCACAGAAAAACCAAGAUGCUCCAAUGCUGUCAGUAAAAGCAAGCCCAGGAUAGGGAGAUGUUGUCACUUUUAGGAGUGUGAACUGAAGACAUCCAUAUUCACAUCUAGUUCGGCUCACUUGUCAUCUGCAUCUCUGGCACCAAGUUCUUUUCCCUCUGUAUUAGGGGUUUCACCUUCUGCUGCAGACUGCUGCCCAAUCAGCUGACGUUCUCUGGGGACACACCUGCCCUUUGCUGAGGCUGUGGAUGGGAACUCAUUGUGAGAUUUUUUUGCCAUGUGUGGAUGGGCUCUGCAAGGUUGCAAGAAACAAAGUCAAAAAAUGGGAAUUUGUGGAAAGGGGGCAAAAUCCUCACCAUUCUACCAGUGCUUGGAUGUCCGCCUGGGCUGAACCAUGAGAGACCAAGCUCAGGCACUUUGGUUGAGCUUGGCCAGGGGGAUACCUCGUCCCUGGAAUUUGCAGACAUGACCCCAGUUGUGUUCCAGCAGACUGCCCAGAUAUCUGCAGACCUUACUGCUCCAGAUCCUGACUUCUUUCCAGUUCCGCUCUGGGCCAGACCUGUUGCAAAUAUGCAGGAUGGACCCUAAGAAAAUGUCACUAAACUGAGAGGCGAUCCUUCAAAUACAAAGCAACCUCUCCAGUAGGAAUGCUGUGCUGAAUUCAUGAACAUCUCUAAGUUCUUAGAGCAUCAGAAAAUCUGCACUAAAAUUCAUCUGUCCUCCUCAGGAAUGGCAGUGAAGGGCUAAUGCUUUCAUUUGACUUCUCCAGAACUGAGCUGAGCAAUUGCAUGGUCCAGGCUGUGACAACUGUCACAUGGAGAAUGGUGGCAGCCCAAGGGAUACAUAGAGAAACUAAAUGUGGAGUGGAGAUAUUCUUGAAGACAGAGCCAGCCCUAAUACACAUAUCCCAGACAUGAGCAAUUCACACCACAGCAAGGGCUCCAGCAUGAAUGUGGCUUUAGAAUGAAUCCGUGGGCACGUGGUUGGUGCCAGCCCCUUUGUUUGGUGCCAUCACAUCCAUGCUUCUCAGGCACAUUCUGUGUUUGCUGCUGCUGCAGAUCCCACUCACCAAACAGAUCCACAUUCAAAUGAACAUAUGAGGUCCCCACGCCCUCCACCCCAUCAAGACUGAAGCUCUUACUCCAAAGACAUUGAACACCCCUGGUCCCAGGUAAUUUCCGCUGCUGCAUCUUGCACAACCCAAAGAGGUGUAAGCCAAGACUUGAUUGUGGAACCUAAGAGGGAAGACAAGCUCUUCAUGAUAACCUGCCUACCACCACCAGCUCUAGGUCCACAGGGCUGAUGCCCCAUAAGGGAAUGGAGCUCAUGAAUGUGUAUUGUACCUUCCGGGUGUUUUGCUGCCUUGCACGUCAAGCUCUGCAGCCUUCCAGAUCCCCUUGUUCUCUGACUGAGAAAGGGAAAAGGAAGCGAUUGAACAUUCCUGCAGUGAUAUUACUACAGUCUGAAUGUCUGUGUCCUCUCCCAAAUGCACAUGUUGCAAUUGAAUCCUGUGAUGGUUAAUAGUGAGUGUCAACUUGAUUGGAUUGAAGGAUGCAAAGUAUUGUUCUGGGUAUGGCUGUGAGUCAGUGGACUGAGAGAGGCAGACCUACCAUCAAUCUGGGUGGGCACAAUUUAAUCAGACCACCAGUACAGCCAGAAUAAAAGUAGGCAGAGGAAUGUGGAAAGACUAGGCUGGCUGAGUCUUCUGGCUGCCAUCUUUCUCUUGUGCUGGGUGCUUCCUGCCCUCAAACAUCAGACUCCAAGUUCUUCAGCUUUUGGACUCUUGGACUUAACACCAGUGGUUUGCCAGGCGCUUUCAGGCCUUCGGCAACAGACUGAAGGCUGCACCAUUGGCUACCCUACUUUUGGGGGUUUGGGACUUGAACUGGCUUUUUUGCUCCUCAGCUUGCAGAUAACCUUUUGUGGGACUUCACCUUGUGAUCAGGAAUGGCCAGAAUUGCAAAUGAGAAUAAGAGCUAUGCCUCCUUCCUCCCUCAACAGUAAAAUGACGCAGAAUAAAUUUAACAUGGAAGAAAAAUGGAGAUAAAUGCAUGACCUGGGAUAUUUUCCAGUGGAGCCACAAGAAGUCUUUCAAACCAGUGACAAUGGAAUAAAUACAGUGCAGCCUAUGCAUUAGAGUAAAUUGAAACUUUUCAAUUAGGAGAAUAGAAAGUUUGCCUUGCGGGUCAGAGCUUUAAAUCUCUUUGUGUUAUGCUGUGUUUUCCAUUUUUGUACCAUCUAUAAUAUUUUGAUUAUUUGGAUAUAGAGGAAAAUGUAACCUCUUUUCUUAGCAAGAAAUAGCAUAUAGCAUCAUACAACUCACUAAACAAAUAAAUCAACCUGUUUAUUGCUUAAAA